AAAGAAUUAGUUUAUUUAAAACAAUAAGUUGUCAGCUUAAAAAUAUUGAUAUAUUAAAAUAUAUAAAUAUUCUUUU
rnacentral:tRNA from 1 species